UACGGAGGUGGCAAGCGUUGCUCGGAUUUACUGGGUGUAAAGGGUACGUAGGCGGUUAUGCAAGUCCUGCUUGAAAUUCUUGGGCUCAACCUAAGACCGUGGUAGGAAACUGCAUAACUUGAGGAUGAGAGAGGUAAGCGGAAUUCCCGGUGUAAGGGUGAAAUCUGUAGAUAUCGGGAGGAACACCAGUGGCGUAGGCGGCUUACUGGCUCAUUUCUGACGCUGAGGUACGAAAGCUAGGGGAGCAAACAGG
rnacentral:misc_RNA from 1 species